rnacentral:rRNA from 1 species
UGCAUAUCAAUAAGCGGAGGAAAAGAAACCAACAGGGAUUGCCUUAGUAACGGCGAGUGAAGCGGCAAAAGCUCAAAUUUGAAAUCUGGCACCUUCGGUGUCCGAGUUGUAAUUUGAAGAAGGUAACUUUGGAGUUGGCUCUUGUCUAUGUUCCUUGGAACAGGACGUCACAGAGGGUGAGAAUCCCGUGCGAUGAGAUGCCCAAUUCUAUGUAAAGUGCUUUCGAAGAGUCGAGUUGUUUGGGAAUGCAGCUCUAAGUGGGUGGUAAAUUCCAUCUAAAGCUAAAUAUUGGCGAGAGACCGAUAGCGAACAAGUACAGUGAUGGAAAGAUGAAAAGAACUUUGAAAAGAGAGUGAAAAAGUACGUGAAAUUGUUGAAAGGGAAGGGCUUGAGAUCAGACUUGGUAUUUUGCGAUCCUUUCCUUCUUGGUUGGGUUCCUCGCAGCUUACUGGGCCAGCAUCGGUUUGGAUGGUAGGAUAAUGACUAAGGAAUGUGGCUCUACUUCGGUGGAGUGUUAUAGCCUUGGUUGAUACUGCCUGUCUAGACCGAGGACUGCGUCUUUGACUAGGA